rnacentral:lncRNA from 1 species
CGCCCGGACCCGGAGCCGGGCUGUAACGGCGCGAGGCGGGGCGCGCGGACGCGGGGCAGCGGGAAACGAGCGCGUGCCCGGCCUUCCCGCCGCUGCUGCUGCUGCGGCGGCACGGGGGGGGAGAAGGCGGGAAAGGAGGGCGGGAGCGCCGCCCUGGGCUCAGCGCACGCCCUUGUAAAUCACACCCUGGUGCAGAACUUCGCGUUCGCUUUUUGGCUGUUGCUUCGCUCACACGUGUCGUCUGGCGCUACUAGAGCUAGCAGAUGACAGCGUGACGGUUAGCCGCAUUUCCCGGCCUUCCGGGCAGCUGCUUCAGCAAAAGUAACAAAACCCGUAGCAACUCGCGUUGGCGGCAGCACUGGGGCGCGGCCUGUGGAAACCUCCGCACCUCCCGUACCGGUAAUGGCUGCAGGCGCGUCGGGGACAGAAGCGACGGGCAACGCUGGUGGAGCCGGGAGCGCAGGAGGGGCCGGCGCCGCCCGCGUGCCGUAUGGGAUCCCCGCAGCCGGGCUGAGGUGAGCUCUCGUUGCUGUCCGUUACCUGACGAGCCGCCCCGCUGCCCGCGGUACCCCGGGUGCCUUUCAGCCGCGCGUCUGUGCCGCUCUGGCUCCCCCUGCUGGCUCCGCUCCGCUCCUCGCUCCGAACUCACCCGGCCGUUCGGAUGGAGCCGAUCCGGCUGCCGUCGGUCCCGGAUGACGGCGGGUCGGUGCUGUGUUCACCUGCGGGCACUGUGGUGAUACAAGUGAAUAAAGCUAGGCAAUACACGCACGCGAAUUAAGCUGCUUCUUUACACUGCAGCUGUCUCCUCCUUAAGGUUGCCUUCUUCUAGCAACGCUUAUUGGAGCUCCUUGUGUGGUGACCCAGGAAAACUGCUGUGCUCACCCCCACAGCCCAUCAUCCUCAGUGGUUACUAUCAUACCCCAGAAACAAAAGGAAAGCAUUCUUCCAAUCUGGGACGGAACCACCACUUACUGUUUUUAGGUAUUCUCUCCAAGCACUUUUUGCUAUCAUCUUACACAGUAAGAAAAAGAAAUCCUACUCUGCUAAGCUUGUUCCAGGAAUGUGGUGGUAAUCAAUGCCAGAGGCCAAUGGCCGUGUCAGGUUAUAACAAUUGUUUGUUCCGUUCCACUCACAAAACCUACCGCCGUGUUCUACAAGAAGGUAAUGUGGUUUGACGUGAUGUGUUCGUGGUGAGUCUGCAGAGGCUCUGCUCCUUGUCUCCUUGCUACUGUCUCAGUGCUCUGAAAUGGCUGCUACAUAGCCAGAAUUCUGUGGCAAUGGAUGUUAAAGCAGCUACACUGUGAUUCUGAGUCCUCCUGUUCAGGCAAAAAACAUUGGCCCUUUUGCAGUCUCCCUUCCCCACAGCCUUUCAGAGGUAGUUGUUAACAGCGAGUUUCACAGCGCCCUCUGACCAUCUCAUAGAGCAAACCACCAGCACAAGCUGGAAAGGUGUUUUACCCUCUAACCUCAUCUCUUUCUCUUGGCUCAGGCUCCUCCCCUGGCUGACCUUUGUGAAGGACAGGACAUCCGAGCCUCUGUUCUUUGUUUGCUCUUUGUACCCUCAAUUCUGAUUCUGAUGGAACUCCAACCUAUGUCUUAUGCUUAAUAUAAUAUAUGGCCUUAUACUUAAUACACUUAAGUAAGCAUUGGAAAAAAUGGUUUCAAGGCUGACAGACGCUGAGUUCUGUUGAUGUAGGAGUCUGGGAUUUGUAGAAGAGAACAACUGAAAGACUAAACUAGGCAAUGCACGCAACAGAGCAGGGCGUAACUGUGCCACCUGCCUUCCUUCUUUUUACAGGAUAUACCACCAAUGUUUGCAUUAUGAAUUUCAUUUUCAUAAAUAAAUAUUUAACUAUACAACGGAAAAUAUUAUGCUUAGCUAAUUACCUAAUGAUUUUCUAAAAUGCUGUGCCUUUUUAUGCAUUUUAAUGUUCCGAUACACAUAGUUUAAAUAAUUUUAGUCAGCCCUCCACAAACAAAUUGCUAAUUGAAAUAUUCAGCAAGGAUUCAAGCUGUCUGCUUCAUUUACACUUAUUAGACAUAAUACAAUUCAAAUUCCAGCAUCUAAGACACUAAUAAGCUAAGCUACAUUACAGCUUAACUACUUAUUUUGAUGUAGGAGUACUCAUCCUCUGGUGGCUCGAAGGAGAUUUCGCAGGGCGUUUUUCCCCCUCGUCUCUCUGUUCUGUUUAAAUAUUCAGUGAGGAACGGGAAUCUCUGAUUUCCCAAGGGGAAGUUCUGUGCUUUAAGUGCCCCCCCAUAACAACAGCAAUCUUUUUUCAAACACUGAUGCGUUCUUUUAAAACCUCCUAGCUUAGUUAGGUUGCUUUUUACUAGUAGAGGAGCUAUUUAAGUGAGAGUUACAGUGUUAAAGCUUUCCAAACAGCACCUGAAAGGACUAGAUGGUCUUAGGGGCCUUCUCCAACCUCAGUGAUUCCCUUCCGUGAUGUUUUGGUCAGGCUGCAACUGACAUUUUGCUCACCUCUCCUCAGCUUGCAGCUACUUUAAAGCACCAUCGGGUACUUUGGUCCUACGUGUGGCAAGGGCUGGGUUUUUGGUUUCAUGAGAUGCUUCAGCAGUGUCUCCCACAACUGGAGUCACGUUCCCAAAAUCGCUCACUGCGCUCCUAACCCUAUAUUCAAUUGUUGCCAAAGUCAAAGCUAAACACUUUUGAGUAGUGCCUCAGUGCAGAUAAUACUGCUUUGGUAACGUUAUGUAAUUACACAGGGUAUAAAAUGCAUUACGUCAAAAUGUUCUCUAUACGUCUCAAAUUUUCCUUUUCCCAGCAUUCAUUUCACGUUCCAUUACAGUAGUUUGAAUGACCCACACCUCCAUUUACUGAAGUACUGAAAUGCGUGGGUGAGCCCACAGAGCUCAGCGGUGUGCAACAUGAGAAGUCAAAGUGCUUCACAGUGGAAUUUAUUUGAGAAUAGGUACAGCUGCAAGAUGAAGAACAGGAGAAGUUCCUUUUUUGGGGAUAUUGAAAGACAAGAACUUUGUACAUGGCGGAGAGAAGAGAUAAGAAACAUGCAUGCAAAAACAACAUGGUUGACACAAGCAAAGCCAUUGACUAAAAGUGACUUGCAUAACAAUCCUUUAACUGUGGAAAAGCAAUUGUGAAUAAGUUGUCUUUAUCAGUUAGGAAAAUGAAGCAAAACAAAAGUACCAAUUACAUAAUGGCUGUGCAUCCACUGAAGAAUGUACGUAGAUCAGAGCCUGCUAAGCAGAAAACAACAGCGCGUUUAGAUCCAUUAUGAGUGAGAGAACUUGUUUUUGAGGCCACACCGACAGGAAGGAUCGUUGUAUUAAGAUAAAUAAAACGUCCAGAAGGGUGAUUAAAAGCAUUAUGUUGGACUUAGUGGAAUUAAACAUCUGGAUAGAAGUGGUGUUGGACACAGGCUGGCAUUUGGUCAGGAAUAGACUUCUCCGGUGCAGAAAAACAAAACAAGUGACUCAGUAGAACAAAGGCUGCAGUUGAAUGUGUUUGCCCGCAGGAUUACUGAAAAAAAAUGAGCUGUGGAAGGGCACAAAUAGAAAACCAAAAAUGGGACAGUAGCUGUAACAAAAUGAAUGGUAGCAAUGCUGACAGAAGACAAGACACAUGGAGCUAUGUGAAACUGGUAGUGUUUUUGUUCCUUCUACUAAUGGUGCUUCCGCAUUCCAGUUGAAGGAUUGGCUGUAACGCUGUCUGCUCUGUUUAUCUAUUAAUUUCUCUUGUAUGGUACCCAGUUGUGUUUUCAAAAGAAGUACAUAUUGUAUUUUACAAGACCAGCACUGUCAGACCCUGCACCUACAACAGGAGCUGUCUGCAAGGGCUGAUUUUGUUAUGCCAUGAAGCAUUUGUGUUCUUACUACGAUAAGCUGUUGUUCUACCAUUAAUUGUUUUGGUAGGCUUUUUUCCCCACUGUCAUAUUCUCAUUACAAACAUUUUUCUAUGAAAUAACACUAAUGAAGAUCCAACCAUCUAUCAGUACAAAGGGAAAUCUCACAUGAUCUUCUCAGCUAUAGCUGCUAACACUACGUUAACUCAAAGUCAGGCAUCCUACUGCUGUCAAAACCAAUAUCAAAUAUUAUUGGGAGCUGCAAUAUAUAAUGCCUUCAGAAAAACACACAUCUGAUAUCAAACAGCAUCUGAAUCUCUUUUCCCACAGGAUCAAAGCUAAAGCUUUGAUAGCCACACGAUAACCUUUGGUUAGAUGUAUUUUGCAGGUGGGUAUUGCUAAAAGUUAGCCAGUAACACAAUAAAGCAGGAGAUUAAUUAUGUAACAUGAUUAGAGACACUGGAGCACCACCAUUGGCAUAAGGCAUUACUGUUAUCAUUUACCUGUUCAAAUUACAUACAGGGAACGGAACUUUUCUAGUCUUCCGCAUUGCACAUUCCUAAUUUUACCUGAUCUCUCAAUUUUCAGGCAAGUUCUGGACGUUACUUUUGGUCAAUGCCUGUGAAAACCGUUCUCUCUAGAAAAUCCUGUGCAUGGAAUUACGGCAUCUCCAUAAUUGCUGUGAAAUCAUCUCAUCUACUUAUUCUGGAAGAAGCUGGAGGUGACAGCCACCUGCUGCCACAGAGCAACUCCGAGCCAGAACCACUCCUGAGCACCGGAUGGGAACUGUUAUCACGUAUUUGAAGACAGGUUGCUGAGAAGAGGUGGGACAGGGCCCAGGAACCCUGCAGGUGACACACGUACCUCCUGUACUGAGUACUGGCCUCAAAUGACUCAGCCACUUGGAAUGUCCACAAUCACAAGCAAGGCACCCACCUUUGUAGCUGAAGAAAGCUCAUAACGGAGAAAGACACGUGGUAGAGGGUUUCUUUCGCCGGGAGAUCCUCACCAAUUACAUUAUGCAAGCAGUCUGCACGUGAAGUUGUACCACCUGAUCAAGUUUGGCACCAGACAUGGGAAUUUUAGUAAUUUGAGCUAAUUCUUGUACUUUCUUACUAUGGAAUUUUAUUUUUUUUAAUGUAACUUACUGAUUUUAUUUCAGCUAUAGCACUAAUUAAAUGUUCCUCACAAGAAGAAAACACUGCUCAAUUUUAGCCCUCAGUGCUCGUGUGGCACUUUCCUCAUGAAUUGAUGACAGCAGCAAUAAAAUCAUUCUGAAGGGUGUGAAACUCAUCCAACUCUGUAACUGAUACACUGUUCUCCAGAACCAGUUGAAUUUUACCAUGUUAAGAAAAAGUCUCAAAUUCUAAGACGACAGAGGUACAAGAAUCAGUUCAUACCUAAACCGACGACACACUCUUCUGAGGCUACAGUCCAUAGCAGGCAUCAAAGCACAUCUGCAGCUGAUUUUAGCAAAAUUCGCCCUUGAAGUUCCUGAAAAGAGGCAAUGUGCAACAUCCUGCCCCACCCUGCUGCUGGUUCUCCACUUGCAGUUAUGACAUCUCCGCUCAGGAAGUAGUGCAGCCAUGCAACCUAACUCUCUUCAAUUCAUUCUUAUAACCUGCUACCUUUACAGACAGACCAUUCUGCCAGUGCACUAAAAGCUGCCCUAGCAGUAGAAAGUGUCACCUAAGAGGGUUUACAUUUAUUUUCAGGCCAGCUACAUCCUUGGCAUGUACUGCAAAUGACAGCCAGGACAACAUCAAUCACUUGCCAUCGGAGGUACUAUCUUUUUUCCUUCCUUUUAAAACAGGCAACCAAACCAACUACUUAUUUUCCCAGUGAAACAGAGUUACACAAGUGGCUUUAUAUCAAAUUUGAAAGCACCUCAAAGUCGAUGAAAGCCAGAUUCUAGAGGGAGACAACAGGGGUAAAAAAAAAUAUCAAUACACAUGAUAUUUUAAUACAAAAUAUUAGCUUUUUUUUUUUUACACAAAAGUCAGUUUUUUAAAAUAUAGAACCUUAAAAAAAUGAACAAAUUGCUAUCCACACACUAUAAACACUUCUUUGUGCUCAGUUUGAUCAAGUUAUCAGAACAAUUUAAACACCAGUCCAUAGUUUAAACACUGCCUUGAAGUUUUAUGAAAACUAUGCCGCACUGUGCACUACCAUUGGAUGUACAGUGUGAAGAGCCUUCUUUCAGCUUUAAUACCAUAGAAGAAACUGUUCAGUUAUCAGGUUCUUUGUGCAAGGAUUUCACAUUCUACUCAUGCUCAUGACAGAUUUGCAUUACAUUUCAGUUGCACUGGUAUGAGCAACCACAUGUAAUUCUGUGAAUGUUCACUGUAAGAAUGUCCAUUACAUGGAUUGAGAUACAUAUUCUGGAAGUACAAGUUCUUCAGCUGGAUAAAAGAAAACUUGGUAUUGUUAGUUGAGGGGAAAAUGCUAGCCUCAUUAACCAGAACUUAACAAUUGCUAAGCACUGAAAUGAAUUUUGAUUUCUCAAAGUUGAAUAAAAGUAAUUGACUAUCAUUUUCAUAGAGAUGGGCUACAUAGCAGGUGCAUUGCAGGAUGAUAUGUAAUUGCCCAUUUUUUGAACCCAGAAACAGGAAAAAAAAAUUUCCCUCUAAGUUGGAGGUCUUAAAAGGUCUUGUUUUAACAGCAAAUCAUCCACAGGUUGCAGGCUGUUAGCCGAGUUUAGGAUGAUUUACUUGCAUUACAGUAAUUUACACAAUUGAACUUUAUGCAUACAGUACAAAACUAUGAACGAAAAGGUGAAGCAAACUUUUUUUAUUUAUAUUCAGGUAAAAACAUUAACCUGAUGAAGUAAAUUAUUGCAGAUUUGAGAAAUCAGCACAUAAAACAGUUGGACAGAGCAUUGCUUACAGGUGCUUUAUCUGUGUCAAAAGACAAAGGCUGAACUGUUUGAUCCAAGCUAGCGCUGAGGGGAGAAAAAUAAGCUACAAAAGUAACCCAGAACUUAGAUCAAGAACAAGAAAACUGUUUACUCAAACAGGGAAUUAAACAAUUAAUUUGUCUUUUAAAAAAACUUUACAUCAAUUCAAAAUGCUCUGGCCUUACCACAAUACACACUGGCCAGCCCAAACUGUUGGGACUUGAACUACAUGAAAUUCUUCCCAGCCUCUAGUAAGAGGCCUCUGCUGCCUGAAUCACUGUGUAAACAGCUCUAGAGCGCCGACUGGUGAAGACUUCCACCAGUAUAUCCUACCACUACAGUAAACUAUGCUAUAAGAAAGGUUCUACCUAGUUACAAAGGCUGAAUUAUAUUGACAAUAUAUAUUUGAUUUCAGUAAAAUUUAAAUUAUUUUAAUCAGAGAAAGAGGCAUGGAGCAAUUAAAUGCUCACGCGAACCAAAACAUAACAAUUGUCGAAUGUUGCACACAAAAGAACCAAGUGAAUUGCACAUCAGACAAUACAUGAGGAUGGGUAAAAUUAGAGGCAGGUGAGGGUACACAGAACUAGUCUACUAAACUAGAUUUGUCAAAUACAUGGUGUAUUUUAAUUUCUGUACUUAUGUACAAAAGUUGUCUUUGGAGGAAAAAUUUCAGACUUCAGCUAGAUGGAUACACACAGCCCAGUAUUAAACUGCACAGCGACAUUUAUUGUUCCAGCCUGGAAAAACAUCCCUUUUUAAAUUUCACACAGCAAAGCAAGUUAAAAACUUCACUCGUCAAAUAAAUGAUAAUUUAAACAAGAACUUGCUAAAGAAACCUUGUCACAACAACUUUUUAGGGCCUGAACAUUUUAAGUCCAUAGGGGCCUUUAAUGAAUAUCAACCAAGUGUCUUUGUUUAUAAUCUGCAAGCCGUUUUUCUACAACAAGAAGGCGUAACACGUUUCCUUGACUCAGGUGAUAUAUUUAGAAAAGAAUCAUGAGUUUCUCUUUUGCUGUAACAGGCAGACAUUGCAUGUUUCAUUGUGAUCAGGAAAGAUGGAAUGACUGCUGCCCUUCUCUUGCAGCUAUCAAGAGUUUUUCACGCAUUAUCUCAAUAGUUGAAUAGUCCGGCAAUUUGAGAUAGUUCACACAAGUCAUUACUGAGGGCAAGAAGUCAUCUGGAUUCUCUGUAGACUCAAAUGUCUUCCGUACAAUUGUCAAUGGAGGAUUCAAACUUCGAAAGCCUAUUAAUAAGAGAAGAAAUUCAGAAUGACAGUGACAGAAGGACGGAUCUUACAACUGAGUUCUCAGCCUGUGCUUUUAAAAGUGUAGCGUAUGGCUCAACAAAGCCAUAGAGCAAGCCAACAAUCUUUUCUGUAGAUUAGCUUCCCAGCAUUAGGGAAGAAAGAAAUGAGACACCUCUAUUUAUGUGUUCCUAAGAUUAUCAGAAGUUAUGACUUGUAUCUCGUUUUCUCCAGCUAAGGUUUCUGUACUUGUAACCCUCAAUCCUGUCUACACCAUCUUUCCCAAAAAACUUUUUUCCUUUAAAUCAACUUUUAUGUAACAAGUUCUUCCUUUAACUAGAAAAAGCAGAAAAUAUAAGUAAUGAAAAUACAACUUGUUUUUACUUGCAAAACAUUCAGCCAAAAGAGUGGCAAAAGGUAUAUCCUAAUGAUCCCUAGCAAAGACAGUGAAUUCCUCAGGUGUCUUCCCCUCACUGUCUCAUCUAAAUUCUGAAAUUCAGAAGAGGAGUAAUUCAAGUUUAUUAUGCUAGUAUUGUUUCUUUGCUAGGUAGAAACAUCUGUUUCCAGGAAGCAAUACAUCAUUUUGUCACCACAGCUUAAAAUAUACACCUCUUAUCAAACAAAUACAGUACUAAGAAUUGUCGGUUUAAAGUCUGGAUUAUUCUUGUCCUCUAGGAGGUUAUCUGGUAACCAUGAGAGAGCUGCUCAAAUGAAGUGAUGCGAUGAAUGCAAAAUUCAUGACAUAGUUCUACCUGCAUCUAUCCAGACAAUUCAAGAACUAGAAACAGCAAACAUACAAAGCUGUAAAAUAGGCAAUUAUUUUAUUUCCCCUUUACUGAAGUAAUCCACUUAUUCUGAAACACACAGUCAUUCUGAUUUCAUGUACAGCAAAACAGAACCUACCUCCUACUGGCAGCCUGGGACUACCGGUCACAAACUGAAGAAACAGUCUCUGCUGCUCACUAUCAAAACUACUGAGAAUUUCAAAGAGAUACUUCACUGCUCGACUAAGGGAAAAAAAACAACUUUUGUUUAUAGUGAAAACAAUUGCAUCAGAUUUAUAUUUAUUUCAAUAUAUAUUUCAAAUACAUUUCAUAAUUCCCAUUGCUUAAGUGUAUAUUUAGAUUUCAAAAUAGACUAACAUCAUGUUACCUGUCAUGUGUAUAACCGUGAUCUGGCCUGCAACAUUCCAUUAAGGUCUUGGCAUCCCAUGUGUCUGUUUUGCUGCCACAUAAGAGUUGCUCCAACUGUAAAGUUUAAAAAAAUAUUUUUCCUCUUUAGAAACCAAUGCAGUUAGUAAUGUCUGUUCUAAGAGCUACUACAGUAGUAAAAAAAUAUAUUCUAUUUUCUGCAAUAGCUUGCUACAAAAUGUGUUAGUCACACCAAACUACUUCCCCCUCUAGUUUUUUUGAAUGCAAUACUUCAAAGCUCAAUGACAGUCUCAUUUGCUGAAUCUGCCUCUACACCACCACAUGAAAUGUGGCACAUAUUUUAGAGCAGACAGCUGCUCCCAAUAAGUAAUUUAUACUGGGAAACUGAAAACUGCCAAACCACCUUAAUAUUUCUGACAUUUUGCAAGUUCACUAACAUACAGGGAAUAGGAAGAACAGAGUAUUUACACUUGUUCUGGAUUUUUUUUUUUAGGGUUUGUUUAGUUUGUUUUUAGAAAACUGCUCUCUUCUUGAAAAGAAAAGGCAGUAAUAAUUAUUAGGUGUGUUUCUGUCCAGAGUUGUUGGGUUAGUUCUUGAUUUAAGUGGGUUUUUUGUUGUUUUGUUUUGAGGGGAGAGGAGCAGUGUUUGUUUUUGUUUGUUUUACUUCAGCUAAUUGCACCUGCUCUUUCUAUGCACUUGGGCAGUCGAGAGGCUAUAGCCAAAACACUGAAAGCUUCUACAGAUGUCCUUCUAUGUUAAGUUCUUUAUAAUCGCUUAGGAAGGGUUCAUAAAUAAUCAGCAACAGAACUUUAGAUCACCCAUGUUUGUUCUAUUAAAGAUGAGAUAUCUUACAACUCACUACUCCUGUUGCUUACUUUUCAACUGUAUCUGUAGAUAAGCAAUAGAACAACAUUAACAUUUGAAAAUGUUCAGUCACAAAACAGGCAUUAAACUAAAACAGUGACAGAGCAGAAUCCCAUGUAUCACAAGUAAUCUAAAGAAUUUUGCAACAAAGUUAGUGUGAUGGGGAUGGAAAAAAAAGGCAUCACAACCAACUAUCCUGUUCCUUAACUCCACAUAUGCACCCAUAGCCAUUAAGAGGUACUGCAAUAAAAGGAAUUAAAGUUUCCAUAACAAUAUAGAAAAGAAUAUAUAAACAGAAGCCUUUUUCUGAGAAAAACUAGAUAUACUCAACUUUCAAGAAAAAUGCAUUUUUCAUAAUAAAAACAACUGAACACAGAAAUCUCAAGUAUUUAAAUAUGCAAUUUUAAAG